CUUGGUCAUUUAGAGGAAGUAAAAGUCGUAACAAGGUUUCCGUAGGUGAACCUGCGGAAGGAUCAUUACUGAUUUGCUUAAUUGCACCACAUGUGUUUUUUAUUGAACAAAUUUCUCUGGUGGCGGGAGCAAUCCUACCGCCAGAGGUUAUAACUAAACCAAACUUUUUAUUUACAGUCAAACUUGAUUUAUUAUUACAAUAGUCAAAACUUUCAACAACGGAUCUCUUGGCUCUCGCAUCGAUGAAGAACGCAGCGAAAUGCGAUAAGUAGUGUGAAUUGCAGAAUUCAGUGAAUCAUCGAAUCUUUGAACGCACAUUGCGCCCCUUGGUAUUCCGAGGGGCAUGCCUGUUCGAGCGUCAUUACACACCUCAAGCUCCGCUUGGUAUUGGGCGUCGUCCUCUGCGGACGUGCCUCGAAGCCCUCGGCGGUGGCGUCUUGCCCUCAAGCGUAGUAAAACAUUCUCGCUUUGGAGGUUGGGACGUCUACCUGCCGGACGAACCUUUUUUAUUACUAUCAAGGUUGACCUCGGAUCAGGUAGGGAUACCCGCUGAACUUAAGCAUAUCAAUAAGCGGAGGA
rnacentral:rRNA from 1 species